AAGGUAAUGGAAGGGGAGGCCGUAAAAAAGCCGCCCAACCUACCUUCACACCCUUGUGUAUCUACCACGUUGCUUUGGCGGGCCGACCCGGUUUUGACCCGGGCGGUCGGUGCCCCCAGCCUAGUUUAUGGGCCAGGACGCCUGGCUAAGUGCCCGCCAGUAUACAAAACUCAAGCGAUUAUUUUGUGUAGUCCUGAGAAUUCAUUUAAUGAAGUAAAACUUUCAACAACGGAUCUCUUGGUUCUGGCAUCGAUGAAGAACGCAGCGAAAUGCGAUAAGUAAUGUGAAUUGCAGAAUUCAGUGAAUCAUCGAAUCUUUGAACGCACAUUGCGCCCCCUGGCAUUCCGGGGGGCAUGCCUGUUCGAGCGUCAUUUCAACCCUCAAGCUCUGCUUGGUAUUGGGCGACGUCCGCUGCCGGACGCGCCUGGAAGACCUCGGCGACGGCGUCUCAGCCUCGAGCGUAGUAGUAAAAUAUCUCGCUUUGGAGGAGGGAGGCGCUGGCCGCCGGACAAUCGACCUUCGGUCACUAUUUUUCCAAGGU
rnacentral:rRNA from 1 species